GACGUCAAAGCGUAUACAAAGUCGAGUCGGUUUAAGGAUACGUUCGUUGGGUAGGGGAGCGUUCUGUAAGCCUGUGAAGGUGGCCUGUGAGGGUUGCUGGAGGUAUCAGAAGUGCGAAUGCUGACAUAAGUAACGAUAAAGCGGGUGAAAAGCCCGCUCGCCGGAAGACCAAGGGUUCCUGUCCAACGUUAAUCGGGGCAGGGUGAGUCGACCCCUAAGGCGAGGCCGAAAGGCGUAGUCGAUGGGAAACGGGUUAAUAUUCCCGUACUUGGUGUUACUGCGAAGGGGGGACGGAGAAGGCUAUGUUGGCCGGGCGACGGUUGUCCCGGUUUAAGCGUGUAGGUGUGUGUUCCAGGUAAAUCCGGUUCACUUUAACACUGAGGCGUGACGACGAGGCACUACGGUGCUGAAGCAACAAAUGCCCUGCUUCCAGGAAAAGCCUCUAAGCAUCAGGUAACAUCAAAUCGUACCCCAAACCGACACAGGUGGUCAGGUAGAGAAUACCAAGGCGCUUGAGAGAACUCGGGUGAAGGAACUAGGCAAAAUGGUGCCGUAACUUCGGGAGAAGGCACGCUGACACGUAGGUGAAGUGAUUUACUCAUGGAGCUGAAGUCAGUCGAAGAUACCAGCUGGCUGCAACUGUUUAUUAAAAACACAGCACUGUGCAAACACGAAAGUGGACGUAUACGGUGUGACGCCUGCCCGGUGCCGGAAGGUUAAUUGAUGGGGUCAGCGCAAGCGAAGCUCCUGAUCGAAGCCCCGGUAAACGGCGGCCGUAACUAUAACGGUCCUAAGGUAGCGAAAUUCCUUGUCGGGUAAGUUCCGACCUGCACGAAUGGCGUAAUGAUGGCCAGGCUGUCUCCACCCGAGACUCAGUGAAAUUGAACUCGCUGUGAAGAUGCAGUGUACCCGCGGCAAGACGGAAAGACCCCGUGAACCUUUACUAUAGCUUGACACUGAACAUUGAGCCUUGAUGUGUAG
rnacentral:rRNA from 1 species